AUUGAACGCUGGCGGCAGGCCUAACACAUGCAAGUCGAACGGUAACAGGAUAGCUUGCUAUCGCUGACGAGUGGCGGACGGGUGAGUAAUACUUAGGGAUCUGCCUCUGUGUGGGGGAUAACUAUUGGAAACGAUAGCUAAUACCGCAUAAUGUCUCCGGACCAAAGAGGGCUUUUAGCUCUCGCGCAGAGAGGAACCUAAGCGAGAUUAGCUAGUUGGUGAGGUAAAGGCUCACCAAGGCGACGAUCUCUAGCUGUUCUGAGAGGAAGAUCAGCCACACUGGAACUGAGACACGGUCCAGACUCCUACGGGAGGCAGCAGUGGGGAAUAUUGCACAAUGGGGGAAACCCUGAUGCAGCCAUGCCGCGUGUGUGAAGAAGGCCUUCGGGUUGUAAAGCACUUUCAGUUGUGAGGAAAGUUUAGUAGUUAAUACCUGCUAGAUGUGACGUUAGCAACAGAAGAAGCACCGGCUAACUCCGUGCCAGCAGCCGCGGUAAUACGGAGGGUGCGAGCGUUAAUCGGAAUUACUGGGCGUAAAGCGCACGCAGGCGGUCUGUUAAGCUAGAUGUGAAAGCCCCGCGCUCAACGUGGGAGGGUCAUUUAGAACUGGCAGACUAGAGUCUUGGAGAGGGGAGUGGAAUUCCAGGUGUAGCGGUGAAAUGCGUAGAGAUCUGGAGGAACAUCAAUGGCGAAGGCAACUCCCUGGCCAAAGACUGACGCUCAUGUGCGAAAGUGUGGGUAGCGAACAGGAUUAGAUACCCUGGUAGUCCACACCGUAAACGAUGUCUACUAGCCGUUGGGAGACUUGAUCUUUUAGUGGCGCAGCUAACGCGAUAAGUAGACCGCCUGGGGAGUACGGCCGCAAGGUUA
rnacentral:rRNA from 1 species